rnacentral:lncRNA from 1 species
CAAGAAAGAUCCACAAUUGUUCCGGGGAACAAGUAACUACCAUAAAUGAUUGAAACUCUAUUUAACCAGAACGAGCACAUAAACCAUGUUAUUGUUUCCCAAUCGAGCCCGACUAUCUCAAUCUUCAAUCCUUAUCCCGAAGUUACGGGAUCUAAUUUGCCGAAUUACAUUAUUCUAUCGACUAGAGACUCUUCACCUUGGAGACCAGCUGCGGAUAUUUGUACGGCCUGUUGAGAAGUUUGCGUGUCCCCACCAUAAAUUUUCUAGGUCCGAGGAGAAAAUAUCGACACAACAGUAUAUGUCAUGCUCUUCUAGCCCAUCUACCAAAUCUCUCUGCGAAAGACUUCCAUGGUAGUUCGGCUAUAAAACAGAAAAGAAAACUCUUCCGAUAUCUCUCGACGGCUUCUUUAUGGUCGUUCCUGUUGCCAGGAUGAGCACAAGGCCCAUAUUUAAUAACAAACAGAUACUCAACAGGUUACGGAAUUGGAACCGUAUUCCCUUUCAUUCAAAAUGAUUCAAGUGUUUCAAAAAAAUCAUUAAAGAUUUGACAAUAUAUGCUUAUUGAUUUUUUACUUGAACAUUUUCGGCUUUCGCCUUGAACUUAGG